AUUGAACGCUGGCGGCAUGCCUUACACAUGCAAGUCGAACGGCAGCACGGGUGCUUGCCCCUGGUGGCGAGUGGCGAACGGGUGAGUAAUACAUCGGAACAUGUCCUGUAGUGGGGGAUAGCCCGGCGAAAGCCGGAUUAAUACCGCAUACGAUCCACGGAUGAAAGCGGGGGACCUUCGGGCCUCGCGCUAUAGGGUUGGCCGAUGGCUGAUUAGCUAGUUGGUGGGGUAAAGGCCUACCAAGGCGACGAUCAGUAGCUGGUCUGAGAGGACGACCAGCCACACUGGGACUGAGACACGGCCCAGACUCCUACGGGAGGCAGCAGUGGGGAAUUUUGGACAAUGGGCGAAAGCCUGAUCCAGCAAUGCCGCGUGCGUGAAGAAGGCCUUCGGGUUGUAAAGCACUUUUGUCCGGAAAGAAAUCCUUGGCUCUAAUACAGUCGGGGGAUGACGGUACCGGAAGAAUAAGCACCGGCUAACUACGUG
rnacentral:rRNA from 1 species